UACAGAGGGGGCAAGCGUUAUUCGGAAUUAUUGGGCGUAAAGAGCGUGUAGGCGGCCAAACAGGUCCGUUGUGAAAACUGGAGGCUCAACCUCCAGACGUCGACGGAAACCGUGUGGCUAGAGUCCGGAGGAGGAGAGUGGAAUUCCUGGUGUAGCGGUGAAAUGCGCAGAUAUCAGGAAGAACACCAAUGGCGAAGGCAGCUCUCUGGGACGGUACUGACGCUGAGACGCGAAAGCGUGGGUAGCAAACAGG
rnacentral:rRNA from 1 species